GUAUUAAGGGGGAGGGGUCCCAUGCAGGUGCUUCUUCAUAUGGUCUGUUGUCACUGUUACUCAUUUCUGUCCCGUGUGUCCUCCUCCUCACAGGGUGAACCUGGAGAACUGAUUCCUGACCCUGUUUAUGGAAAUAAAGGAACAGUGGGGUAUCCGGGAUCACCGGGACUUCCGGGAGCUCCAGGGCCACCCGGCUUCCAGGGUCCAAGUGGACCUCAAGGACCGAGAGGUUAUCCGGUAAGAGGGUUGCAGCAAGUUUAUCUCUGAUAUUUUGAUCAUGCAAACUUCAUGCUCUGUUGGUUCUGUGUUUCCAGGGUCAGCCCGGGUCACCUGGUCCUCCUGGCCCAAAGGGUAACAUGGCUCUAAAGUUUGAAGGAGCCAAAGGACAGAAGGGGGAGCAGGGUGUGCCGGGACCUCCGGGUCCUCCUGGAAAGCAGGAGGAGCAAAGUCGGUCACCAGAGGAUGUGAUUCAGAGAGGAGAUAAGGGUGACCCCGGAUAUCCUGGGCCUCGAGGGGACCCGGGCCCCCCAGGACCCCCUGGCCCGUCCGGUGGAAUGAAAGGAGAGAAAGGAGAACCCGGAGAGCCAGGCAAACGAGUAAGUCCAGACAACGUCCGGUUUUCAGUUUUCAGACCCUCAUUCCUAAGAGAUUUAUUUCCCACAUUCAUGUGAUGAUGUUGAGACUUCCACUCAAAC
rnacentral:lncRNA from 1 species